rnacentral:rRNA from 1 species
GAGCCGGAGGGAAACCGAGUCUUAACCGGGCGUUAAGUUGCAGGGUAUAGACCCGAAACCCGGUGAUCUAGCCAUGGGCAGGUUGAAGGUUGGGUAACACUAACUGGAGGACCGAACCGACUAAUGUUGAAAAAUUAGCGGAUGACCUGUGGCUGGGGGUGAAAGGCCAAUCAAACCGGGAGAUAGCUGGUUCUCCCCGAAAGCUAUUUAGGUAGCGCCUCGUGAAUUCAUCUCCGGGGGUAGAGCACUGUUUCGGCUAGGGGGCCAUCCCGGCUUACCAACCCGAUGCAAACUGCGAAUACCGGAGAAUGUUAUCACGGGAGACACACGGCGGGUGCUAACGUCCGUCGUGAAGAGGGAAACAACCCAGACCGCCAGCUAAGGUCCCAAAGUCAUGGUUAAGUGGGAAACGAUGUGGGAAGGCCCAGACAGCCAGGAUGUUGGCUUAGAAGCAGCCAUCAUUUAAAGAAAGCGUAAUAGCUCACUGGUCGAGUCGGCCUGCGCGGAAGAUGUAACGGGGCUAAACCAUGCACCGAAGCUGCGGCAGCGACACUGUGUGUUGUUGGGUAGGGGAGCGUUCUGUAAGCCUGCGAAGGUGGCCUGUGAGGGUUGCUGGAGGUAUCAGAAGUGCGAAUGCUGACAUAAGUAACGAUAAAGCGGGUGAAAAGCCCGCUCGCCGGAAGACCAAGGGUUCCUGUCCAACGUUAAUCGGGGCAGGGUGAGUCGACCCCUAAGGCGAGGCCGAAAGGCGUAGUCGAUGGGAAACGGGUUAAUAUUCCCGUACUUGGUGUUACUGCGAAGGGGGGACGGAGAAGGCUAUGUUGGCCGGGCGACGGUUGUCCCGGUUUAAGCGUGUAGGUGUGUGUUCCAGGUAAAUCCGGUUCACUUUAACACUGAGGCGUGACGACGAGGCACUACGGUGCUGAAGCAACAAAUGCCCUGCUUCCAGGAAAAGCCUCUAAGCAUCAGGUAACAUCAAAUCGUACCCCAAACCGACACAGGUGGUCAGGUAGAGAAUACCAAGGCGCUUGAGAGAACUCGGGUGAAGGAACUAGGCAAAAUGGUGCCGUAACUUCGGGAGAAGGCACGCUGACACGUAGGUGAAGUGAUUUACUCAUGGAGCUGAAGUCAGUCGAAGAUACCAGCUGGCUGCAACUGUUUAUUAAAAACACAGCACUGUGCAAACACGAAAGUGGACGUAUACGGUGUGACGCCUGCCCGGUGCCGGAAGGUUAAUUGAUGGGGUCAGCGCAAGCGAAGCUCCUGAUCGAAGCCCCGGUAAACGGCGGCCGUAACUAUAACGGUCCUAAGGUAGCGAAAUUCCUUGUCGGGUAAGUUCCGACCUGCACGAAUGGCGUAAUGAUGGCCAGGCUGUCUCCACCCGAGACUCAGUGAAAUUGAACUCGCUGUGAAGAUGCAGUGUACCCGCGGCAAGACGGAAAGACCCCGUGAACCUUUACUAUAGCUUGACACUGAACAUUGAGCCUUGAUGUGUAGGAUAGGUGGGAGGCUUUGAAGUGUGGACGCCAGUCUGCAUGGAGCCGACCUUGAAAUACCACCCUUUAAUGUUUGAUGUUCUAACGUGGACCCGUUACCCGGGUUGCGGACAGUGUCUGGUGGGUAGUUUGACUGGGGCGGUCUCCUCCUAAAGAGUAACGGAGGAGCACGAAGGUUGGCUAAUCCUGGUCGGACAUCAGGAGGUUAGUGCAAUGGCAUAAGCCAGCUUGACUGCGAGCGUGACGGCGCGAGCAGGUGCGAAAGCAGGUCAUAGUGAUCCGGUGGUUCUGAAUGGAAGGGCCAUCGCUCAACGGAUAAAAGGUACUCCGGGGAUAACAGGCUGAUACCGCCCAAGAGUUCAUAUCGACGGCGGUGUUUGGCACCUCGAUGUCGGCUCAUCACAUCCUGGGGCUGAAGUAGGUCCCAAGGGUAUGGCUGUUCGCCAUUUAAAGUGGUACGCGAGCUGGGUUUAGAACGUCGUGAGACAGUUCGGUCCCUAUCUGCCGUGGGCGCUGGAGAACUGAGGGGGGCUGCUCCUAGUACGAGAGGACCGGAGUGGACGCAUCACUGGUGUUCGGGUUGUCAUGCCAAUGGCACUGCCCGGUAGCUAAAUGCGGAAGAGAUAAGUGCUGAAAGCAUCUAAGCACGAAACUUGCCCCGA